rnacentral:tRNA from 1 species
AAAAAUUUAGUUAAAAAAUAACAUUAGUUUGUCAAACUAAAAUUAUCAACUUGAUAAUUUUUA